rnacentral:tRNA from 1 species
GGGGUUAUAGCUCAGUUGGGAGAGCACUUGCAUGGCAUGCAAGGGGUCAAGGGUUCAAGUCCCUUUAGCUCCACCA